rnacentral:rRNA from 1 species
AACACUGAGAGAUGAUGACGAGGCUCUACGGAGCUGAAGUAACUGAUACCACACUUCCAGGAAAAGCCACUAAGCGACAGGCUUUACUAAACCGUACUGAAAACCGACACAGGUGGUCAGGUAGAGAAUACUCAGGCGCUUGAGAGAACUCGGGUGAAGGAACUAGGCAAAAUAGCACCGUAACUUCGGGAGAAGGUGCGCCGGCGUAGAUUGUAAGGGCUUGCCCCUGAAGGUUGAACCGGUCGAAGAUACCAGCUGGCUGCAACUGUUUAUUAAAAACACAGCACUCUGCAAACACGAAAGUGGAGGUAUAGGGUGUGAUGCCUGCCCGGUGCUGGAAGGUUAAUUGAUGGUGUAAUCGAAAGAGAAGCACCUGAUCGAAGCCCCAGUAAACGGCGGCCGUAACUAUAACGGUCCUAAGGUAGCGAAAUUCCUUGUCGGGUAAGUUCCGACCUGCACGAAUGGCAUAAUGAUGGCCAGGCUGUCUCCACCCGAGACUCAGUGAAAUUGAAAUCGCCGUGAAGAUGCGGUGUACCCGCGGCUAGACGGAAAGACCCCGUGAACCUUUACUAUAGCUUGACACUGAACAUUGAAUUUUGAUGUGUAGGAUAGGUGGGAGACUAAGAAGUAGGAACGCCAGUUUCUAUGGAGUCAUCCUUGAAAUACCACCCUUUAACGUUUGAUGUUCUAACGAAGAUUACGAAACGUGGUCUCGGACAGUGUCUGGUGGGUAGUUUGACUGGGGCGGUCUCCUCCCAAAGCGUAACGGAGGAGCACGAAGGUUUGCUAAUCACGGUCGGACAUCGUGAGGUUAGUGCAAUGGUAUAAGCAAGCUUAACUGCGAGACAGACAAGUCGAGCAGGUACGAAAGUAGGUCAUAGUGAUCCGGUGGUUCUGAAUGGAAGGGCCAUCGCUCAACGGAUAAAAGGUACUCCGGGGAUAACAGGCUGAUACCGCCCAAGAGUUCAUAUCGACGGCGGUGUUUGGCACCUCGAUGUCGGCUCAUCACAUCCUGGGGCUGAAGUAGGUCCCAAGGGUAUGGCUGUUCGCCAUUUAAAGUGGUACGCGAGCUGGGUUUAGAACGUCGUGAGACAGUUCGGUCCCUAUCUGCCGUGGGCGUAGGAGAAUUGGUUGGGGCUGCUCCUAGUACGAGAGGACCGGAGUGGACGCACCACUGGUGUUCCGGUUGUGUCGCCAGACGCAUUGCCGGGUAGCUAAGUGCGGAAGAGAUAAGUGCUGAAAGCAUCUAAGCACGAAACUUGCCAAGAGAUGAGUUCUCCCUGUCUUUAAGACAGUAAGGGUUGUUUAAGACGAAGACGUAGAUAG